AUCAUUCUCCUAACACAAAGAAAUCUAGCCUAACAUGUCGUGAAGAAGAAAACAAAAGAUAUGAAAAUUGUUCAUCAUCCGAAAAAUCUUGAAUUCAAUUUUAGUGUUCUUGAAUCUCGAUGUGUUCUUUACCUCCUUUUGCAAUUGAUUCUCCACAACCCUAAUUAUGUGUUGGGAAUUGAUAUUUUCAAUAUGUGCCGCCCAAGGAGAUGUUUCCCUUUUGGAUUGAAAUUCUGAAUAAAAAUCAGUUUUUCCGUCACGAUUGGCUUGGGUAGUCGCUCAGACAUUUUUUUUUUGCCUUUAUUGUCCAUUUUCAUGGCUGAGCGAUCGCCUGACCAAUAUAACUAGGCAGUCGCCUAGUUAUGUUGGCUUUCAAAUUUUGCAUUUUAAUUCCCGAAUUCAACUAUUGAUUUUUUAAAAUUAUUUUCUCUUGCAAUUUCAAUCCUUCAACUUCUAAUUGCAUCCACAUCUUUAAUCUUCAUAUUAUGAUCCGAAUCAACUUUUAGAAUGUUGUAAUUUAGCCCUCAUACUUUGAAUUUUAUGCUUUUUCUUUUCCAAUUGCUCAGAAACAAGUCCAUCACUGAAAUAAACGAAAAUUUAGCCAAGUUAAAUAAAUGUCAACACUUUCAUAACAUAAAAGCUUAGUAAUAUGGUCUAAAUAGUACACAAAAUGUACUUAACAGAGUCGAACUUAUUUGUUGGAGUCAACCCCAUAUGGAGAAUCAAACCCUUAUGGACGGGACGAAGCUACAAGGGACUUAGUAGGAGAUCUUUUAAGCAAUUCUCAGUAAGCGAUUAAUGUGACAAUUCACUACUACUGUCGCCCUAUUCAGCCAAGCAGGGCAAGUCUAAAUCAUGUGUCGGACUUUUGGGCAACAAAAUGAUAUUAGCAUUCAAUGUCUGCGAUUGAUUGAUACCUUUGAUAAGAGGCCUCAACCACAUGGAUGAGGCCAUGGAUACAUUCAUUCAAUAGUCAGUAAUGUGUCAUUCCAAAAUGUAAUGCAAGUUUAGACUCUUAAGCUAUAACUUUGCUCUCGUCUCUAUUAUAUAUUUUUUCCAAAGCCAAACCAUUUUUUACAUAAGCGGCUCACGUCUAAAGUACAUCUCACACGCAAAUACAUUUCACUUCAACUGACUUGACCAUUGGAGUGUGCUCAGCCUACUCUAUUACCACCGAAGGAAGUCAGAUGUGGCUAACGGGUUGUCCUAGUAUGCAGAAGCAGGAUGUAAGUAGGAGGCCUUAGGAUCUGUUGACCUCGAUUUUGGUAUGGAAUUUCAUCUUGUUCAUUACGACAAAGUAAUCUCCAUAUGAACAAAUAUCGCAGGUUGAUUCAAAUCUCCAUAGUAAAAUGGUAAAUAAUUUUACUUACUGAAUUAUACGUUCAUAUAAAUUAUACUUGUUUCAUACCAUUUGUGUAAAUUUAGAAAUCUCUUAAAGCGGAUGAAAGUGAUCUUUUCCAAUCUACCCUCAUGUUUCAAUAAAGAACAAGCACUGUGGAUGCUCACAUUCAGUUGACUUUCAAAUUGUUCCAUCCUUCCAUGGCAUCUACUGGAGUGAUGAGACAACAAUGAGUAUUCCUUGAGGAUAGAAGUAAAACUUUAUCUUUCUUCUAAUAUUUAGAUUAAUACAAUAACAAAUAUCAAUAUCUUUACAAAUAUCUACUGUCUCUAUGAUUUAAUUUCUCAAAUGAUGUUCGAUGAUCGUUGACAUUUUAUUGCAUGUUAUAUACAAACAAGUCCAUCCCUGUAAUAGCAAACACUGAACUGAAAAUAUUAUGUACGAGAAUCUAACACAUUCAAAACACUAACAACACCUUCAAAAUAACUUAUCCCGUGCAAUAAUCUUUUUAUUGAGUUUCUAAAAACUUUCUUAGAGUAUUUGCAUAAUUUUAAAAUUUGGCCAAAAAGCAAAUGUUUACAUUCUAAAAGUUUGGCUCUUGUGGUUGAGACUGAUGAUCCGGCACUCAUAAUAUUUAUAGAGUCAUAUUUUAAAUAUAUUAUUUAAAAUCAAUUGAUGUUCAAUAAAGAAAGGCUAAGAAGGGGGUAUCUUCAAUCAAGAUUGUGAUAUAUUUUAAAAAUCAUUCUAAAUUUAAGUGUCUCCAAUUGAGGUUUUAAUGAAAUUCAUUAAAAUAUAGAUGUCUUUACUGAUAUUUUAAUGAAUUUCAAUAAAAUUCUUCAAAAUUUAGGUGUCUUCAAUAACUAGUGGAUUUCAUUGAUAAAUGAAUUUUAAAAGAUUUGGAUGGAUUUCAAACUGAAAAAUACAUAUAACAAAAUCUUUCAAAAUUUCACCAUAUUCGACGAGAUUCUUAUGGAUUUUGUGGAAAUAUAUUCAAAUUCACAAAAUUUAUUAUCCUUCAAAAUCCAUCAAAAUCUUCCUCGAGGAUAACUCUUUAAACAUUUUAUAACAUUUAAUUACAAUAAUGUGAAUGACUUAAUCUCUAGGUUUUAGAGUAUUGAUUUUUGAGAUAUGCUUAAAAUAAAAUUUUUUUUAUUUAUUUUGAAAAGUUUUGUUGGCCUCAAAAAAUGUACCUCCGACGUGGUCAACAGAUUCCAAAGCCUCUCACAUCUAUGCAGGCAUUGUUCCUGCAUCCACACGUUCUCUAGCAGCCAAGUUAAUUGGGAAAGAAAAUAUAUGAGUGUGGGAGAGCUUUACACAUGAGCCUCCAAUAUAAAAGGAGGAUCGACUUUAGAGAGUAACAAAUAAAACAAUGAUAAAGCAAAGUUAUAGUGUGAAAGUCUAAACUUGCAUUACUUUUGGAAUGACACCAAGUGUAAGCCUUUAUAGUAGAAGAUGGUAAGUAAGAAUCGUUGGAUGAAGAGGCAUGUGGCCCCAUCUAUACGGUCAUUAAGUGCCAAUACCAUAUUUUUACCCAAAAUGCCUAGCUUGCAGCUUUAGACUCGACCUGGUGUGCUUGGAAGCAGUGGCAGUGAUAGUAAAUUGUCAUAUCAAUCACAUAUAAUUGAUUGUUUGAGAAAUCUUACUAUGACUUUCCGUUACAACCUUGCCUCCUCCGUGGUUUGACUCAUUUUCAUAGCGUCAACUAGUGGGGGUCAAUAGACAUACUAGCUCGGCACCCUAAAGGGCGUGCUUAUUUUUGUGUGGGCUCUACUAUUUUUAGCCACGUAUGACAUUUGAAGGGUGUUAUGGAUAAGGUAUAACAAUCGUCUCGAAGUCUAUGUAUGAUUAUUCAUGUAAUGCAUGGACUUUUAAGUUGAGAUGUAAGAUCAUGUGAAUGGUGAGCCAGUCGAUGUGAUGAACCCUUUGAGAAGGCUGAAUUUGAAGAAGGUGAGGCCCUUGAUAAGGAGGGCAAGUUUGUUGAUGUAAUGAAGCUUUUGAGAAGGCUGAAUUCAAAGAAGGCGAGGUUUUUGCUAAGGAGGGAGAAUUUGUUGAUGUGAUGAAGACUGUGGGAAGGCUUCGAAAAGGAGAGGCCCUUGCUAAGGAGGGCGAGCCUAUUGAUGUAAAUGUUGAAGGGAUGCGUGUUGUCAUGAUUUGGAAACAUUAUAUGGUUCCAAAAAAUGGCAACAAGAUAGUUUGGAGUUUUCCAUAUAUGUAUUGUGUACGCAUUUAUGAUGCUGUGAAGAUGGACUAUUAUAACCGGCAGGGGUUAUGCACCAGUUGGUGUGUGAUGUGCAUAGAUCGAUUAGGGACAUCAAUUUUCAAAAGGAACCUUUUGGUUUUUUAACGUGUGUGAUGGGAGUACAAGUAUACGUCUAGCAUUAUUUCUGAGUUGAUCAAACGAUGAUGCUCGAUUUAGGUUGCUUAUGAAAGGAGGAAAACAAUUGUUUCUUACCUUUUACUUUACAAAAGCUCCCAACCCCUUUGAACAUUUUAUUUUGGGAUUUUCGAUCAUCUUUGUCACUUUUUUGGCGAGUACUUCCAUCCAUAUCUCCAUGUUAUUUCAUGACUUGUGUAAGUGAUAGAACUUCAUCUUCUUUCAUGUUAGUUUUCUAAGACAAUAAUUCAUUGGCCUCAUCUUUGAAGAAUUCGACGGGGGGUCUUCUGAAAGUAGAUAUGGUACUAAUUUGUACCAAGGUUGGUUGCCUUUGUUGAUUCCCAUUGAGCGGAUAAGGGAUGCCAUUGGGGCCCACAUAGUUUGUAGAUGAUGCAAAGUGUGAGAUAGGAGCUUUCUUGUGCCUAUCGUGUGUGGAGGAGAGUAAAAUUUGAUACGUUUUGGGAAAUGACAUAGGAUACUAGAAACCAUUGAGAUGUUUGCUCCUAUCCCUGAUGAGCGAGCCUUUUUUCAAUGAGGGGCAUGUUGUGGUGAGUAAAUCGAUUUUUAGUGGUGGGAUGAAACUGCCAUGCAUUCUUUCUUUAGAUAUAUAAUUAAGUAGUAUAACUUGGCUCCUACCCAAUUAAUGCCCAAUGCACGGAGCCAAUUUUCAAGGCUUUUCUUCUUUGGAAGGAAGUCACUAUUGGUGAGGAUAUGCCUCCCCAUGUCUUUCAGACCCAUUUUUAGCCUCGAGCUUCUAGUGGGGAGAGUAAUGUAAAGAGUGGUACUGUAUGAACCUAUGGGGUCCGCAUUCGUCCUUCAUCUGGGAUACUUCGACCUCAAUAAAGAAUUGAAAAUUGUCUUGGUUCUAGAUGAGGGGUCAUUAGUAGAUAGUGGAGGGGGAUAGAGUCCUAGAAAUAAUUGUGCCGACCCAAAACCAUAGUAUAGUGAGUUUAUUUUGGUUAAGAUAAUUCAUUCAUUGCUGUAUUUCGUUGAGCUGCAUCACUAGCUUGUGGUUUUUUUAGCUGUAAUUAACCAUUUCAAGAUUGAGCCAUCGGAGUGGGCCAUUGUCAAGGCCAUCUACGACUUUCCUACCGAGAAGAGGUAUUUUAAAAACUUACUUAGCCCUUUCGUGACAUAUUUAUUGAUGGUGACCAAGGUAAGUAGUUAGCGCCUUGCAUUCAUUGUUAUGCUAUUAAGAUUUUAGGCUAUGUUAAAGUCUCGACUUUUGUUUUGUAAAGCGACAUGAUAACAAUGAAUAUAUAUCAAGCCGGAUAUGUUCUUUAUGAGCACCUACGGAAAGCGAGGAAAAAGAAACCAUUGAGUUCCAGCUCCUCUAUCUACAAGAUCCAGAGGGAUGAGCUGUCCUUUUUAUCUAAGAUUAAUUCACCGCUUCUCUUAGAGAAAGAGGGGCAAGAACAGGAUGAAAAAAUUGAGCCUUCAGUGGGGGACCCAUAAGAGGAAGUUGACUUUAACAAAGAACACUAAGCCUCUUGGUGUGAAAAAGCACCAAACAAGUUUUUAGGUUGUGUGGUACAGUGCGUACACUGUAUAUUAAUGACUUCUCUUUGUUAAUUCUCUAACUCCAGAAUAAUUAUAUUGUUGGACAAAUUACUCUUGGUGCGAUGGAGCUCUCUUCCCUAAUAUCCAAGUCUUUUAGCCAACCAAUUCCCAACCAAAACACUACCCAAUCAUCAAUUACUCACACACAUCGACGUCGACGACGGUAAUCAGUCGUCAAUCGACAAACCCCAAACCACAGGCCUCACGCCACAUGUUAAUCCACAUCCACAGGUGGUUGCCCUAGGCAGAAACCCUAGCAUGUCGCUCAAAAUGUUGCUCUGACUGGAGGCAAGCCAUCCUGGGUUGGUGUGGAAACCCUAGGUGCCAGAGAAACUAGUGGCAGGGGGAGAAAACCAGGCAGAGAGGUGGUGCGAUCUGGGAUCCAAAACUAGAUUCAUCGAGAAUCGAUCACUGGUUCGGCACGCGUCCUACCAGCAGGCUGUGCGGGCGAAUUCGACUAGACCAUGGUGCGGGGCUCCGGCGACGUUUCUACCAACUCGUGGAGGCAUCGAAAAACCAGAAAUUUAUUCUUGCUCAGUCCAGAUCAUCCGAGAUAUCGAUUUUACCAUUAGAUGUGCAAUUUACCCAAAAUUAGGGAAAAAAAGUUGGAGAAUUCAUAUGGUAUAGUACUCAAUCGUAGGUUUCAAAUAGACACAAAAGAGAUUGCAAUGUUUUUUAACAAUUUUGGCAUUGUUAUAAUGAAAGAGUGGGGAUAGAAGAUAUCAAAUGAAAUAUGUAUUGGAAGGUUUGGUGCACUUUGGAUGGUGAAUAUGGUGGAUAAGUUGAGGGUGACUAGUAGGUUGGAGGAUUUUUUCUUGAAGUUCAGCGAGUCUUCAAGAGCUUUUUAGCAUAACAAUGUGUGAAUAGCCACGGUAGAUACUUGACGAUUGCACAGUAUGGGGAGAGGCUUCGGAAAGGAGUCGUGAUGGUGCCGGAAGGUACGAAUGGAAAAGGAUGGUAUCAAUCUCACGGGUGUUUCAGGUAGUAGUUGAUUCAUUUGUUGCUAGAGAUAAGGCUAAACAUCGAACAGUAGAAGAAGGAAGUCGACAAUGGAUGACCUAUGCCGAAGUUAAUGGCAAACUUACAGACCUCGUAGAAUAUUAGUCAAAGGAUACUAAUGGGAAAGGAAAAGGUGACUAAGGUGAGUGAAAAUGAAGGUCAUUGUAUGAUGUCUAAGUCUAAGGAAGUAUAUGCAGAAGUUUCAAAUGAUGGUUUCCUGAACUAUGCUGAAAUAAAGGCUCGUGUUCAGGCGUUGAAAGUGGAAUUGGAUGAAUUAGUUAGACUAGUGGGAUGUGGGUCCAAAGUGAACUUCAAGAUGCUUUAUUGUCAUAAGUGUGGGAGGAGCGUGGAUGAGUCUAGAAAACAAAUAGAUAUCGACUCUUAAGACGUUAUCUCUAAAAGUAGCCACUACUACAGAAAAGGAGGAUAAUGACUUAGAGAGUGAAACAAAUAGGGAGGUGUUACCUUGUUCCAACGAAGGGGAGCUGACUAUGGUUAAUGUGGAGUUGGCGUGAUGGACAUGAUGCAGCCGAUCGAUGGAUUAUUAUCAGUGGAGAAGAGACGGGACAUGUAUUGGCGAAGGAUUCAGUUCUGACAGCCCUGAAAGAGCAGGAGGCGACAUGCUCAAGAACCAUGGUGGGGAACACGUAUAAUAGAAGGCACUCUAAGCCUCUAAAGGAAGGAGAAGUAGAGAUGGAAAAAGCUCUGGUGUUGUGGGUAGAUGGUGCCAAGAAGGGAGGAAUAGACAUUGAUGUUGUGCAAGUGGAAGAAGAGGAGGAAAUUGGACCCCACCUUCAAAUUGGGUCCUUAAAAAAGUUUAGGAUUUCAGUAAGUUGGUGGGUCGAUAGAUAUGAAAGUAGACUUUUGCACUUAUUCGAGGAACUGGAGGCUAGUAGGGGAUAAGGAAUAAUUAAACAAGGUGGUAAAUUAAGAAGAAAGGGUAACCGUGAACAUAAGUGGCUCAAUUGGUUGGUAAAUUACGAUGCCAAGGGUGUCGAAUCAAAGAAAGGAAUGCUUGGAAGGUAAGAUAGAGCAUUUAAAUGAUUUCAAAAAUAAGUAGCUGGAAUGUGAGGGGGCUUAAUGAAACGGGGAAAAUGUUAGGUGUUCGAAAUCUGCUAAGGGAAUGGAGGGCAGAUCUUGUUUGCUUACAAGAAACUAAGUUGGAGUUCAUCUCAUGGGCUAUUGUGAGUAGUUUACGGGGAGGAUAGCAUGUUGGGUAUUAAUAUGUGGGGUCAUCAGGGGCUUCAGGAGGUGUGCUAGUCAUGUGGGACACGAGAGUGUUUGAUAUGGAAGAGGUCAGUGAAGGGCUAUUUUCCUUAUCGCUUUCGUUCAGAAAUAUUAAGGACAAAUUCUCUUGGAUGUUUAUAGGAGUCUAUGUGCCUAAUGCUGAUGAAAGUAAAGGUGUAUUAUGGGAGGAGUUGGCUGGGAUGAUGACUUGGUGGAACAUUCCAACGUGCAUUAGGGGAAAUUUUAACGUGGUUCGGUUCCCUAUUGAGAGGUCUAGCAGUGGGAGAUUAACAGGGGCAAUGGAAGAGUUCUCAGAUUUUAUUAGGGAGAAUAUCUUGGUGGGCCUGCAUUUAAUUGGAGGAGACUUUACUUGGUCUUCUAAUAGGGAUCAACUUGUUCUAUCUCGAAUAGAUCCAUUUUUGAUUAUUGGGGAGUAGAAGGAGAUAUGCUGGGAGGUCACGCAAAGAAGAUUAGGGAGGGUGUAUUCCGAUCAUUUCCCUAUUUUGCUAUCUAGGAAUGUGAGGUGUAGUGUAAGAAGAGCUUUUAUGAUUGAGAAGAUGUGGUUAAAAGUAGAAAGCUUUAAGGAGCGUGUGUGGGAUUGGUGGACAUCUUAUGAUUUCAGGGGGUUUCCUAGUUGUGUGUUGGACCAAAAAUUGAAAGCCUUGAAGAGAGAUAUAAAGAAGUGGAGUAAGGAGGAGGGGGGAUGUUAAUUGGCGUAAAAAUCAAUGCAUUUUAGAUAUAGAAGAGAUGGAUAUGAGAGUGAAGAGUCAAGGAUUGACAGGGGAAGAGAUGGAGAGACGUGGAAAUUUAAGGAAAGAGUUGGAGAGGUUGGUAGAAAUGGAUGAAAUAGCUUGGUGCCAGAAAUCUAGGGUCAAAUGGUUGGAGGAGGGUAAAUGUAUCCAAUUUUUUUCAUAAGGCCUCUAAUUCCAAUAGGCGCAUAUCAAUUCUAUCACUAUGUUGGAGGUAGAUGGAGUUACUUAUGAAGACCCACAUGACAUUGGGACUCAAAUGAUGAGUUUUUAUCAAAAUCUUUAUAGGAAGCGGUUUGACUAGAGGCUCGAGUUGGAGUUGUUAGAUUUUUCUGCUAUCAUUGAGGAGGAUUCAGACUGGUUAGAGCAACCAUUUGGGAAGGAUGAGAUUCGGGAGGUAGUGUUUAGCAUGAAUGACGAUAAGACACCAGGAUUGGAUGACUUCUCCUUUUCAUUUUACAAAGUUUGUUGAGAAGUGGUGUGGCCGGACAUUGUAGAGGUAUUUACUUAUUUAUUUCAGUGUGGUAGAUUUUUGAGAAGUUUUAAUGCUACAUAUAUUGGGCCGAUUCCAAAAAAAUCGAGAACGACAUAUAUUAAUGAGGUGUCGGGGAAAGUGGUGUCUAACUUUCAAAAUGUGCUUGUCAAAGGGCGACAUAUUUUGGAUUCCUACUUAUAGCAAACGAAUGUAUUGACUCGAGAUUACGAACAGGGUUCCAGGGAUGUUCUGUAAGCUUGAUAUUCAGAAAGUAUACGAUUACUUUAAUUGGGGAUUCCUUUUAUAUAUGCUCAGGCAAUGUGGUUUCGGGGAUAAGUGGUGCCGAUGGUUUCAAUUUUGUAUCUCUAUGGUCUCCUUUUCAGUUUUGGUGAACGGCACUCCUGAGGGUUAUUUUCGGAGUAGCAGAAGUUUGAGGCAAGGGGAUAUCCUUUGUCUCCAAUGCUAUUUGUUAUCGUUAUGGAGGCGUUCAGUAGAUGCUUGAGAAGGCUGCGGAGGAGGGUUUGUUGAGGGGUUUUAUGGUUGACCAAUUACGAGUAUCUCAUUUGCUAUUUGCAGACGACACAUUGAUCUUCUGUGAUACAAAUGCUGAGCAAUUUAAGAACUUGCAUCGUCUACUACUAUGCUUUGAAGCUGUAUUUGAUUUGAAGAUAAAUUUGGGAAAAUUUGAGGUUAUCACAGUGGGAGAUGUCAACAAGGUGGAGGAGUUAGCGGCCAUAUUGGGUUGUAGGAUUGCACAGCUGCCUAUGUCAUACCUUGGGCUCCCUUUAGGAGCACGUUUUAAUAAUAUACACAUUUGGACCAAUAUUGUGGAAAGGGUGGAGAUGAGAUUAGCGAGUUGGAAGCGCAUAUACCUCUCAAAGGGAGGACAUCUUACCAUCAUUAACUCCACCCUAUCAAAUCUCCCUAUGUACUUUUUGUCACUAUUUUCUAUUCCUGUCUUAGUGGCAAAAAGAUUAGAGAGGAUUUAACGGGAGUUUCUAUGGGGAGGGCUAGGGGAGGAGAGGAAACUUCAUUUGGUUAAUUGGAGGGCAGUUUGUUCUCCCCUAAGGAUGGGGGGCCUCGGACUGAGGAGUCUUGAUUUGUUUAAUAAGGCUUUGUUGGGUAAGUAGCUAUGGCAUUUCGGCGUGGAGAGGGAGAGCUUUUGGAGAGAAAUUAUAGAGGUGAAAUAUGAUAUUAUGGAGGGGGAUGGUGCUCAGUCAUGGAUCGUGCUUCUUAUGGGAUGAGCUUAUGGAGGUAUAUCUGAUGAGGAUGGAAAGAUUUUCGAGAUAUAUGGAUNNNNNNNNNNNNNNNNNNNNNNNNNNNNNNNNNNNNNNNNNNNNNNNNNNNNNNNNNNNNNNNNNNNNNNNNNNNNNNNNNNNNNNNNNNNNNNNNNNNNNNNNNNNNNNNNNNNNNNNNNNNNNNNNNNNNNNNNNNNNNNNNNNNNNNNNNNNNNNNNNNNNNNNNNNNNNNNNNNNNNNNNNNNNNNNNNNNNNNNNNNNNNNNNNNNNNNNNNNGUGAUAGCAAUACUCUUAGAUUUUAGGAAGAUUGUUGGUGUGAAAAUCGACCAUUGAGAGUGGAGUUUUCUUCUCUGCCUCGUGUUGCUUUAAGGCUAUUUGCUAUGGUGAAUGAUGUCUUACAUAUACAUAAUGAGAAUCUUAGUUAGAAGGGUUUGCAUGAUUGGGAGUUGGAUGAUUAUGCACUGCUUUUGACCUCUUUGUAUGAGGCGCACAUCAAGGUCGGAGAGAGUGAUUGUAGCAGGUGGAGGUUGGCAUGAGAUGGUAUCUUCUCAGUUGACACUUAUUUUAGAUCCUUAUUGGGACUUGUGGAGAGCUCAUUCCCUUGGAAAAUGGUAUGGAAAUGUAAACUGUCCCCUCAGGUGGCAUUUUUUACUAUGGACGGUUGUGAGGAGACAGGUGUUAACAGCGGAUAACCUCUGAAUAAGGGAUUUUUAUGUUGAGGAAUGGUGCUAUAUGUGUCGGAAGAAUGGGGAGACAAUUGACCACUUGUUUCUUCAUUGUGAAGGUGCUCGCUCCCUGUGGAACAAUAUUUUGACUUCUCAACACAUGGAUUGAGUGUUUCCAGGUGUAUAGAGGAUGUAUUGAAAGCAUGGAGGAGAAAAUUCGUAAUAAGGACAUCACAGUUGUCUGGGAUCUUAUUCUAGGAUGCAUUAUCUGGUGUGUGUGGAGGGAGAGAAACAGCUGCUGUUUUGAUGAUCAUACACAGGCAACUGAGUAGAUUAAAGAAUUGUUUUAUAUGACUUUGUAUACUUUGUUUAAUGCUACGGCUUUUACUCCCAUAGACGGGUUGCCUAAUUUUAUGUUGUUUCUUCCUUGUAUUAAUUGAUAAUACACUGCCGUUGUAUUAUUUGUGAUUAAUAAAAUAUUUGAUUAAUUAUAGAAAAGAAGAAGCCUUGAAUAGGUCAUAUUUUGCAAUCCAAAGAUUAUUCCUCUUGAUAUGCCUGAUUGAUAUUAGUAACAGAUCUUCAACAGUUGAUAAUAGUUUGGAACUACAUAGCCUUUUUAGUCUCAGAAGGGAUUCCAUUAUUGUAAUUAAAUAUCACACUUGCUGGAAAAAGGGUAUGUGACCAGACCGAUUAUUAUUAGACACGUGAAGAGUUUGAAGUUGAGGUAAACUAGUCAAGAACGCAAUAGGGAUCCAUCUGUGAAAUUAUUGUCCUUCAAAACCAAAUUCCUCAGAGAAGUUAAGUUCAUAAAUGCUGGCAAAAGAGUAACUGAAAACUCUUGCUCUCCAAGGUCUACAUUGGGCACAUUCCUCUUUGAAUUUCCAAUGAAAGGCAUCAUCCCCUUUCCAAGAAUCAGAUAUUGGAUAUCCAGUGGCACCAGCAACGUCAUGUAGUCCAGUGACUUGUGGCUUACAAAAGCUGUUAAUAUUCCAAGUGUUACAUGAACCCAUCUACCAAAGUCAGGCUUAGGCCCGUUCAACUUAUUGUUUUCAAUUUAAUGUUGAUAAGUUUUGGUAGGCUAAUCAAAGAACCUGGAACCACACCGGUGAGAACUGAUUAUCCCUUAAAACAGCAAAUCAAACAGAUUUGUACAGUUGGAUAAACCUGGGAUUGGACCAGUGAAUGAAUUAGCAUGUAACUAAAACCUGGGACAGCUCUAGCCAUAGAAGAUAAUGCAUUUAUAGUUCCAAGCAAUCCUUGUUUCUGACAGUUGAGACAAUUUUUUUGUAUGCCUGAGCCACCAAAAGAUGAGGGUAAUGAUCAGACAAGUUAUUGAAAGAUAGUCUCAAGGCUUGGAGGUUAGGAAAUGCAGAGAAAAAUCAGGUAUCACACCAUUAAGGCUAGCAUUACUAGCAUAAAAUUUGACAAGGAGUUUAGGAUUUCCCAUGGACUAAGAUUACUAUUGUCAUUUAUGGUGAAAGACUGAAGAUCGUGAGGCCUAAAAGGAAGUAUGGCCGAAUCGAAUAAAUAUUGUUGCUAUCUAGAUAGAUUUCUUCAAGUGCAGUCAUAUGAGGAAUGGAAGUUAAGGUCCCAGAAAGUGAGUUUCUUUGGAGGGAGAUGGACUUGAGCUGGGAAAGUUGAUUGAGUUCAGGAAGGAGGGUGCCUGCGAGAGACUUGGAAAUAAGGUUGAUGGAAAUAACAGAAUAGUAAGGAUUGCAAAUGACAUUGUUCCACUUCCAGGUGCAGUAGUGGUUAUGGUGGAUGACCAGCCAGACAGGGUGGGGGAGAGGGUGGAGAGCAGUUUCGACAUGAUGGCUGUGUCAUUGGCCGAGGAGAGGCUGAAUAAAAGGUGGAUGUAGAAGGAAUUUUGAAUUGGAUUUUUUGGAGGGAAGGAAAAUAGAAGAAUAUAAUGAGAUAAAGGGGACGUUGUUUUCGGUACUUUCUUGGACUGCAUAGUUAAGUCGAAGAUGGACGGGCUUCAGCAAAAAAAUUGUAAUUAUGUUUCUUUUUUGUUGUACUUGCGUUUCUCUUGGUGCUCAAACUUGUUUCUAUUACUUAUCCUUAGUUUUAUGUUGAAUUGUGAGGUAAUUAAAGUUUCACAUGCAUGGUUUCUUAAGAUUCAUGGCUACGUGAUAGGUUUAUCAAUAGCAUUAAAUUUGCUCAAAUGUUGGUUUUGUAUACUUCUUUUGGGCAACUUGAGACAUUUCAGGCAGUAUGCCAUCUUUGACGAAUUAUAUGAAAGAUGCUGCCAACAUUUCUUGUAAAAAGCACCUCAAAUGCAGCAUUGUAGAGAAGUGUAGCGUACAGAUGGGUGGCUAGAAAAAGAAAGUUAGGACUCAAUAUUGUGUAAAAUGUUAAACCAUUGAUUCUCGUACUUGCACUUACUUUUAAACCACUGUUUCUCGUACUUGCACUUGAAGGACUUUUUUAUACAACAUUUGUGAGCUUUGGUCCAUGUUUACCAUAUUCAUGUGAAUGAAGGGAUAUUAAUUAACAACUUUAUCCUAAAUAAUAUAGAGGAAAUUGGAAAAAAAUUGUUAGGAAGUUGUGUUCAAAGCAGAAAAAUGCAACUAAAGUAGAAAUGAUAAAAUUAAAGAAAAAUUGAUGAAUAAAAAUUAUUGGCAAAUUGUAAAAGUAUUUUAACUAUAGCAAAAGGUUACAACAAUUUCUCUUUACUAUAAUGAGAGUACAACAACAAUAAUCUCUCUCUUAUAAUAUGGAAAAACACUCUCUUAAAUAAAAACUAAGUAUUUAGGAGAAACUUCUCUUUUUCUCUCUUUCAAACUUUUCCCCUCUCUUUGUUCUCUCAAGAAUGGGAUACCACAAGUAAAUGGUUAUAUAUAUGAUUAAAAAGUAAUGUGAACAUUGCACAGUUCACAUUAAAUUGUGACCGCACAAUGUGAACACUAAAUUGUGACUGUACAGUGUGUGCAACAAAUUACUGCUGCCCAACAUGAAUACUAAGUUACGGCUGCACAGCGUGAAAACCAAAUUACGGAUGUGUAGUGUGAACGGUAAAUUAUUAUUGCAUAAUGUGAAUACAAAAUUACGUCAGAACAUAAAAAAGUGACUUUAUCAACAAAUUUGUCCCGCUUAAAGUCAAUUUUAUACUAACCAUUUUAUCCUUUUAAUCUUGCUCUUUCAUGCUACUUAUGUUUUCGUCAGGCCAAUAACGGAUCAUCAUCAUAUAAAUUUGAGAUCGUAUAGAGACUUGUUCAACUUGCAAACCAAGUUCUCUUUUUCUUUUGCUUUAUAACCUUUUCGCUAGAGUACAUAAAUAUCUUCUUCAAGUUUUUCAUGAAAAAAUGUAGUUUUUGCAUCCUACCAUUCUAAGUGCAAGUCAAAUGUAGCACACGUUCUCAAGAUUACUCGAACUGUUAUAAGUUGAACAUCAGGAGAUAAAUAUUUCAUUGAAGUCAAUGCCUUAUUUCUGAGCUAACCAUUCACCUCCAAUUUUGCACGAUACCGCUCCACUUGGUCAUUGUCAUCUCGCUUAAUCUUAUAGAUUGAUUUGUUGUCGAUAGUUAUCCCGCCUUGUGGUAGUGAAACAAGAUCUCAUGUCUCCUUUUUAUAAAGAGCUUUCAUUUCUUCUUCCAUUAUUGUCAUCCACAGAGUAGUUUCUUGGCUAUUUAUAAUUUCAUAGAAAGUUGAUGGCUCUCAAGUCUCAAUCCUCUAUUAGUAUACAUUAUGCAAUAUUUUCCCCUUCAUAAUGUACUUGGAGUGGGAAGCUAGUUCUCUUAUCUCUCGUGUUGAUAGUCAAAUUUCUGGAACUAUAGACUCAACUUGUUUUUGUUUCUCGUGCUUUAGAGCUACUUCAGAAGAGUCUAGAACUUUUUGUUCUGUCCAUCUUUAACUUUGAAUUUUGUACUCUGGUUUCCCAUUUGAAAACCUAUUAGCUUCAUUUUCUUGUCACUUGCCUUCGGCAACUAUUAUGUCUUUGUUGAUUAUCACUUCAUAGGUAGUGGGAUCUCACAUGUAGAACUUCUUGACUACAUCAAUAUACCAUUAGAAAAUGCAUUUUUUGGAUUGUAGAUGUAGCUUUGAUGUUUCUUGGAUGCUGUUCAUAAUGUACAUAGGACUUGCAAAUACAUAUAAAUGAGAAUAAUCAAUUGCCUUAUCAGUCCACAUCUCUAUACGCAUCAUUAGUUCAAAAGAGGCUAAUGGUGACUAAUUGAUUACAUAACAGGUGGUUUUACUGCUUUCGCCAAGAAUGACUUCGCGAGCCCCACAGUUGUCAACAUUGCUCUUAUUCUUUCUAACAAGGUUCUAUUCAUCGACUCUGCCAGUCUAUUUUGUUGUGGAUUGUACGUCAUUGUGAACUGUCUUUUAAUACCUUUUUGUUGACAGAAAUUAUCAAAUUCAUUAUCAAUAUAUUCUCAUCCAUUAUAAGUCCUUAAACACUUGAUCUUCUUUUCACAUUCAAGCUCUCUUAGCACUUUGUAUAUUUUGAAGACCGAAAAUACAUAUGCCUUUCUCCUGAUUGGAUAUACCUAACAUCUCCUCGAGUAGUCAUCAAUGGAAGACAUAAAGUAUUGUGCACGUCCUAAGGACAAAACUGGUGCUUGCAAAAUAUUAGAAUGAACCAACUUUAAAAUAACAUUGCUUCUUGUAUAUUCGCAUCCAUCAUAAAACAUUACUCGAGAGAGAUUGUUGAAAAAAAUAGGAACAUUGAUUUUUCAAAAUUCCACUGUGUUGUCAAAGUGUAAAACUAAGAUUAAAAAGGAUUUUUGUAUGGAAUUUGGGAUCCUAACACGCUUGUCGUUCACUAAAACAUCAACUUUCAUAGCAUAAUUUGCAUUUAGUUAGUUAAUUCACUCAUAAUCACAUAAGUAGCUUAUUUUAGUUAUACUUUCGUCACAAAUAAACACAUCUUAUUAUUCUUUUUUCAGUUAAGAUCGUGAUAUUUAAAAUCGAAUUAAUCAAUCUCUGUGAGACGAUAAUGGAACUCAAAUCUACUUUAUUAUUUGUUAACAAACCGUACGCUUUACGGUGAUUUUAAUUCGAAACAUAUUUUCGUGAAUAGUCUCUAUGUAAAAGCUCGACUUCUUCACUGAGGUUUGACCAAAACUGCCUCUUGGGCAGAAUGACGUGGGGUACGAACCCAGAUUUGCUUGCCAUGUAGCUGCCAUGCAGCAGUUUUUGGAGAGGCGUAGCAAUAGUCUUUGUGAUGUCCAUUUAUGGUGCUCAAGAUACUUUUAGUUGGUCAUAGACAUUCCUCCUAUUAACUUCCUCCCCACCCCCCACCCCUUCUUGUUAGGACCUUCCUCUUGCUGCUCACGCUGAUUCCCGGGCUCAGUUAACCAUUAAAACCGAGUUUCAACAUCAAACUGGAAGAACCCAUACCGCCGACUACUCUUCUUCCUAUGGUUGCUUUCUUCUCUUGCUUAAUUGAUUCAAUCCAUACACUUAGGAUGGAUACCACUCAGGUAAGGUUCACAAAGACUCAAGCAAUUUGGGUGGAGAAGAAAUCACGAAGGAGAUGAAGGCAGAAGAACUCGGCAGUUUCUCACGGCUUGGACACGGUUGGACGGCUUCAACUUUGGACGAUACCAACAAAGGCAAAGACACCAAUAUAUAUAGUAAGUCAAGUGGCCAACAUAAGGUAAGUCGGGAUAUGGUAAGUAGGCUCGACUAGGGUUAACUUCCAAUGGAAGAAAUCAACAAGCCACAAAGAAUAUUAGCCGUCCAAUAGGUAAGGCAACGUUCGGUCGGUUCAUCCAUUAUUCGAUGUUGAAUUAUCGUUCAGUCAUUUAUGUCGACUGAUAAAAUUGGUUCUCAUCAUUGCCCGGGGGUCGUUUGACAACAUAAUGUCUAACACUUCUAUUUUCGUUUCUUUUCCUUGGAGUUCAAGAAAAAGCAUGAAAUAAGGGCUCGUGAGAGAGACGUGGAGAAAAGUUUUGAGCAUGGGAAAUCUCCUUAACGGGCACGAACCAAUGUUAAGGGAGAUAACGUUUUCCAAACGUGACAGAGCGAGCAGAAGUUAUUGUGCUGCAUCUGCUUCCAAGUUUUAUCGACAAAAAAUAGGAACAUACAGAAUGUACGUGUUUGAAACUUCAAAUGAUCUGAGGGUAGCACUUGCUGUUGCCUCAUGUGACUGAUAAUAAUCUCCCGAACCAUACAUGUAUAUAUACAUAUUAUUCUUGCUUCUGCUGCAAAUAUCCUUCUCCAACCAUUCUUUCAAGAUACAUUAGAUAUGUAUGUAUAGAUAGAUGUUCCCUUGAUACAGUUCUGUUAUAUUUACUUAAUCCAAACACUAUGUGCUACUUAAAGAUGGUGCUCAAAUUUACUAUUCAGUACAAAAAAAAAAAAUUUACUAGUGUUUUGAGUUUGGCACACUAGUGUUUUCCACGAAUAGAUACAAUAACAAAUCUAAUUAAAAAAUAUUGAGUAAUGUUAUUUGUACAUAAUGGAGUUACAUAAUGAUUUACAAAUCUAAUCAAAAAGUGACUGGUGAAGUUUUUUUUUUAUUUGGUUGAACAAAUUCUCAUUCAAUCGUGUAUCACCACAUCAUGUGUAUGCAAACCAUUAUAUACGUGUAGUACAAUUGAAGAAUAUUUAGAGGUUGUUUGACUAAGCUUUUGAUAAAAGUUAAUAGUGGAUUUUGAAAAUAGUUGAUAAAAGUUGCGGGUUUCAUUAAAAGUGUGGUUAAAAUUAGUUGUUAAGUGAUCCCAAACAAGCAAUUAAUGAAAUACUACAACUCUGGGCAUUAUUCUAAACUACUAUGUAUGUUAUUAAUCUUGGCAUAACCAAAGACUCAAAUCAUGGGAUCAAUUAUUAAAAAAUAUUGACGAAUAGGACCUUAUUGACAACAAUAGUCACCAUGAUAUGUCCUUGACCUAGUCUACUAAUUAAUCAUUCAACAUAAGUAUAUCAUAAGAUAGAUGUCAUGUAUUCGAAUCUUGAUAGACGUGAAAAAUUCAUGAGAGGUAAAAUUGAUCAAGGCUCUCCAAAAUGAAUAAUGUGAAUGAGUUAGCUGUCAGUAGCUUUGUGCAUCUGUUGGAUCAUUACACUAAUUAUGACCCAUGAAUUCUCCAACAUAUAUUAAAAGAUGUAUGCUUUAUUUUUAUAUAUUAUUGCUUAUCAUAAUAACCAUUCAAAUUAUAAUCAAGUAACAAUAAGUCUCCCAGAAGCCAAUGUCAUGCUUAUUAGUAUUUCCAUCUGCCUAUUUCUUUCCUUCAAUCCAAUCUCAAUAAUGCCACUAAAAAUCUUUUGACAGUCGCUUAUUGGUCUUUCGCUUUCAGAUACAAAAUUUAACAUGAUCCUGUAAUUUCCACUAGCGAAUUCUAAGGUGGCAUUUUCCAAAACCUCCAUCGCAGCCCCAUAACCAGCAUUGCAGAUUUCGUAAAGAUCCCUCAUUUCUUUGUUUUUUUCAGCAGCUUCUUUCUUUUGUAUGAAAAUCCGCGUGUUGGUCGAGUUUUCCAGUGAUCGAGUCAGGGCUAUUUGUGUUAGACCAACAGCAUUUGUUACAGGAGAAUGAAGGUUUUUGUUAAACACAUUGGUGCAGAAUUCAUAAUCCGGUGUUUGUCGACAAAUCUUAUGGAUUAGUGCUUGAGUAGGAUCAUCACCUAAGGUGGGUUGAAUGAAGGAGAAGAUGAUUAACCAUGCAGAAAAGAUCAAGAGCCAAUGAAUGAAAUCCAUGGAAAAAAUUUCAAUGAACUUGAGAUCGAGAGAGAAAAAUUGAGAUUACCCCCGUAUUGUAAUGUCUAUGGUUCAAUUAAACAAAGUAAGCCAUCUUGGUAUUUAAACAAAAAAAAGCCCCUUUUUCAGUACAUACAUGCUAGAUUAUCUUGUUAUCUGUUAUCUGAUUAUCAAAAUUUGUUUGAAUUUUGUUAUUUAGAUUGCUAUAACUUGAGGAUUUUUUUAUUUUCAUAAUGUGAAGAUAGUGUCUUUAUUUUCUAUAAUUUGUGGGAUUUUUAUUUUAUUUUAAUGACAUAGGGGUUGGUGUCUUAAUUUUUGAGAUUGUCAAGAGGUUAUGCUUAGAUUACAUUAAUCUUUAUUAUUUUAGUUUCAUCAUUUUGAGAUUAAUUCUUUCUUCAUGUUGUGAUAAUAAUGCUAAAAUUGCCUUCCCCUUUAAGCUAUCAGCGAACCGUCAAGUCUCGAUCACUUUGUUGGGGAAUUGAAAUCAAGUGAUUUUUAUAAAUUAUGAUUAUUAACAAUGACCUAUUUAUAUUAUUUAUCUACAAUAUAUAUUAAGCCCUUGUUUGAGCUUCAUUCUUCUAAAAAAUUAUUUUUUCAAAACUCAUUUUCAACCACACAUUAUUCAAUAAAAUAAUAUUACUCGCAAAUCCAAAAUUUUACUUAACUUUUAGUCACACAUUUUUCAUCAAUUUAUUAUUUAAAAUGCAUUCUUUACCCCAAAUGGGAAUCAAACAAAAAAUUGAGUAUUGAGGAGAAAAUUUUGAAUACCAAUUUUACCCUUACAUAUUUAGUAAUAUGUCAAUUAUAUCCUUAUAUAUUUAAUACUAUUACUUAAUAUAAUUUAACUUCAUUUAAUAUACAUUUAAGUGUAAUGCUAUUAAUUGAAAUAUUACUAAAUAUGUAAGGAUAUAAUUGAAAUAUUACUAAAUAUGUAAGGGUAAAAUUGGUAUUCAAAAAUUUUCUCCUCAAUACUCAAUUUUUUGUUUGAUUCCCAUUUGGGGUAAAGAAUGCAUUUUAAAUAAUAAAUUGAUGAAAAAUGUGUGGUUAAAAAAAUUAAGUAAAAUUUUGAAUUUGCGAGUAGUAUUAUUUUAUUGAAUAAUGUGUGGUUGAAAAUGAGUUUUGAAAAAAUAAUUUUUUAGAAGAAUGAAGCUCAAACAAGGGCUUAAUAUAUAUUGUAGAUAAAUAAUAUAAAUAGGUCAUUGUUAAUAAUCAUAAUUUAUAAAAAUCACUUGAUUUCAAUUCCCCAACAGAGUGACCGAGACUUGACGGUUCGCUGAUAGCUUAAAGAGGAAGGCAAUUUUAGCAUUAUUAUCACAACAUGAAGAAAGAAUUAAUCUCAAAAUCAUGAAAAUAAAAUAAUAAAGAUUAAUGAAAUCUAAGCAUAACCUCUUGACAAUCUCAAAAAUUAAGACACCAACCCCUAUGUCAUUAAAAUAAAAAAAUCCCACAAAUUAUAGAAAAUAAAGACACCAUCUUCACAUUAUGAAAAUAAAAAAUCUUCAAGUUAUAGCAAUCUAAAUAACAAAAUUCAAACAAAUUUUGAUAAUCAGAUAACAGAUAACAAGAUAAUCUAGCAUGUAUGUACUGAAAAAAGGACUUUUUUUUUUUUGUUUAAAUACCAUGAUGGCUUACUUUGUUUAAUUGAACCAUAGACAUUACAGUACGGGGGUAAUCUCAAUUUUUCUCUCUAUAUCUCAAAUUCAUUGAAAAUUUUUCCAUGGAUUUCAUUCAUUGGUUCUUGAUCUUUUCUGAAUGGUUAAUCGUCCUCUCCUUCAUUCAACCGACCUUAGGUGAUGAUCCUACUCAAGCACUAAUCAAUAAAAUUUGUCGACAAACACCAGAUUAUGAAUUCUGCACCAAUGUGUUUAACAAAAACCUUCAUUCUCCUAUAACAAAUGCUGUUGGUCUAACUCAAAUAGCCCUGACUCGAUCACUGGAAAACUCGACCAACACGCGGAUUUUCAUACAAAAGAAAGAAGCUUCUGAAAAAAACAAAGAAAUGAGGGAUCUUUACGAAAUCUGCAAUGCUGGUUAUCGGGCUGCGAUGGAGGUUUUGAUAAAUGCUGCCUUAGAAUUCGCUAGUAGAAAUUACAGGAUCAUGUUAAAUUUUGUAUCUGAAAGUGAAAAACCAAUAAGCGACUGUCAAAAGAUUUUUAGUGGCAUUAUUCAGAUUGGAUUGAAGGAAAGAAAUAGGCAGAUGGAAAUACUAAUAAGCAUGACAUUGGCUUCUGGGAGACUUAUUGUUACUUAAUUGAUUAUAAUGUGAAUGGUUACUAUGAUAAGCAAUAAUAUUAAAAAAUAAAGCAUACACCUUUUAAUAGAUGUUGGAGAAUUCAUAGAUCGUAGUUAGUGUAAUGAUCCGAUAGAUGCACAAAGCCAUGGACAGCUAACUCAUACGCGUUAUUCAUUUUGGAGAGCCUUGAUCAAUUUUACCCCUCAUGAAUUUUUUCACGUCUAUCAAGAUUUGAAUACAUGACAUCUAUCUUAUGAUAUACUUAUGUUGAAUGAUUAAUUAGUAGACUAGGUCAAGGACAUAUCAUGGUGACUAUUGUUGUCAAUAAGGUCCUAUUCGUCAAUAUUUUUUAAUAAUUGAUCCCAUGAUUUGAGUCUUUGGUUAUGCCAAGAUUAAUAACAUACAUAGUAGUUUAGAAUAAUGCCCAGAGUUGUAGUAUUUCAUUAAUUGCUUGUUUGGGAUCACUUAACAACUAAUUUUAACCACACUUUUAAUGAAACCCGCAACUUUUAUCAACUAUUUUCAAAAUCCACUAUUAACUUUUAUCAAAAGCUUAGUCAAACAACCUCUAAAUAUUCUUCAAUUGUACUACACGUAUAUAAUGGUUUGCAUACACAUGAUGUGGUGAUACACGAUUGAAUGAGAAUUUGUUCAACCAAAUAAAAAAAAAAUUCACCACUCACUUUUUGAUUAGAUUUGUAAAUCAUUAUGUAACUCCAUUAUGUACAAGUAACAUUACUCAAUAUUUUUUAAUUAGAUUUGUUAUUGUAUCUAUUCGUGGAAAACACUAGUGUGCCAAACUCAAAACACUAGUAGUUUUUUUUUUUUUUUUUACUGAAUAGUAAAUUUGAGCACCAUCUUUAAGUAGCACAUAGUGUUUGGAUUAAGUAAAUAUAACAGAACUGUAUCAAGGGAUCAGCUUUCUAUACAUACAUAUCUAAUGUAUCUUGAAAGAAUGGUUGGAGAAGAAUAUUUGCAGCAAAAGCAAGAAUAAUAUGUAUAUAUACAUGCAUGGUUCAGGAGAUUAUUAUUAGUCACAUGAGGCAACAGCAAGUGCUACCCUCAGAUCAUUUGAAGUUUCAAACACGUACAUUCUGUAUGUUCCUAUUUCUUGUCAAUAAAACUUGGAAGCAGAGGCAGCACAAUAACUUCUGCUCGCUCUGUCACGUUUGGAAAAUGUUAUCUCCCUUAACAUUGGUUCGUGCCCGUUAAGGAGAAAACUCCACGUCUCUCUCACGUGCCCUUAUUUCAUGCUUUUUCUUGAACUCCAAGGAAAAGAAACGAAAAUAGAAGGGGUGGGGGUGGGGGGGGGGGGAAGUCAAUAGGAGGAAUGUCUAUGACCAACUAAAAGUAUCUUGAGCACCAUAAAUGGACAUCACAAAGACUAUUGUAACGCCUCUCCAAAAACUGCUGCGUGGCAGCUACAUGGCAAGCGAAUCUGGGUUCGCACCCCAUGUCAUUCUGCCUAAGAGGCAGUUUUGGUCAAACCUCAGUGAAGAAGUCGAGCUUUUACAUAGAGACUAUUCACGAAAAUAUGUUUCGAAUUAAAAUCACCGUAAAGCGUACGGUUUGUUAACAAAUAAUAAAGUAGAUUUGAGUUCCAUUAUCGUCUCACAGAGAUUGAUUAAUUCGAUUUUAAAUAUCAUGAUCUUAACUGAAAAAAGAAUAAUAAGAUGUGUUUAUUUGUGACGAAAGUAUAACUAAAAUAAGCUACUUAUGCGAUUAUGAGUGAAUUAACUAACUAAAUGCAAAUUAUGCUAUGAAAGUUGAUGUUUUAGUGAACGACAAGCGCAUUAGGAUCCCGAAUUCCAUACAAAAAUCCUUUUUAAUCUUAGUUUUACACUUUGACAACACAGUUGAAUUUUGAAGAAUCGAAGUUCCUAUUUUAUUCAACAAUCUUUCUCGAGUAAUGUUUUAUGAUGGAUGCGAAUAUACAAGAAUGCAUGAACUUCUUAUAGUGAUAUAUUUCUAUCUCUUAUUGGACUCUAUGAUGAUUUACACCACGUUGAGCAUAUUUCCCUCUUUCAAAUGCAUAAAAUAAGCAAUCAAAUUCAUAGAACUACCUUGCACAAUAAUUGUAGACAAAAGAUAAUUAUAUAAAUCAUUUAGAAUUCGAAAACGUAUUUUCAAUGUCAAAUUAUGUAAAAUAAAAUAUUAUAAACUUAUACUACAAGCUUCAUCGUUCUCUUAACACAAAGAAAUCUAGCCUAACAUGUCGUGAAGAAGAAAACAAAAGAUAUGAAAAUUGUUCAUCAUCCGAAAAAUCUUGAAUUCAAUUUUAGUGUUCUUGAAUCUCGAUGUGUUCUUUACCUCCUUUUGCAAUUGAUUCUCCACAACCCUAAUUAUGUGUUGGGAAUUGAUAUUUAUAGUACUUUUCAAUAUGUGCCGCCCAAGGAGAUGUUUCCCUUUUGGAUUGAAAUUCUAAACAAAAGUCAGUUUUUCCAUCACGAUUGGCUUGGGUAGUCGCCCAAGCAUUUUUUUAGCCUCUAUUGUCCAUUUUUCAUGGCUGAGUGAUCACAUGACCAAUAUAACUAGGUAGUCGCCUAGUUAUGUUUGCUUUCAAAUUUUGCAUUUUAAUUCCCGAAUUCAACUAUCGAUUUUUUAAAAUCAUUUUCUUUUGCAAUUUCAAUCCUUCAACUUCUAAUUGCAUCCCCAUCUUUAAUCUUCAUAUUAUGAUCCGAAUCAACUUCUAGAAUGUUGUAAUUUAGCCCUCAUACUUUGAAUUUUAUGCUUUUUCUUUUCCAAUUGCUCAGAAACAAGUCCAUCACUGAAAUAAACGAAAAUUUAGCCAAGUUAAAUAAAUGUCAACACUUUCAUAACAUAAAAGCUUAGUAAUAUGGUCUAAAUAGUACACAAAAUGUACUUAACAGAGUCGAACUCAUUUGUUGGAGUCAACCCCAUAUGGAGAAUCAAACCCUUAUGGACGGGACGAAGCUACAAGGGACUCAGUAGGAGAUCUUUUAAGCAAUUCUCAGUAAACGAUUGAUGUGACAAUUCACUACUAAUGUCGCCCUGUUCAGCCAAACAGGCUAAGUCUAAAUCAUGUGUCGGACUUUUGGGCAAGAAAAGGGUAUUAGCAUUCAAUGUCUAUGAUUGAUUGAUACCUUUGAUAAGAGGCCUCAGCCACAUAGAUGAGGCCAUGAAUACUUUCAUUCAGCAUUUAGUGAUGUGUCAUUCCAAAAUGUAAUGCAAGUUUAGACUUUCAAGCUACAACUUUGCUCUCGUCUCUAUUACGUUCCAAAGCCAAACCUUUUUACAUAAGUGGCUCACGUCUAAAGUACAUCGCACAUGCAAAUACAUUUCACUUCAACUGACUUGACCAUUGGAAUGUGCUCAACGAAUUCUAUUACCAUUGAAGGAAGUCACAUGUGGCUAACUGUUCAUCCUAGUGUGCAGAACCAGAAUGUAAGUGGGAGGCCUUGGGAUCUGUUGACCUCAAUUUUGGUAUGGAAUUUCAUCUUGUUCAUUACAACAAAGUAAUCUCCAUAUGAACAAAUAUCGCAGGUUGAUUCAAAUCUCCGUAGUAAAAAGGUAAAUAAUUUUACUUACCGAAUUAUACGUUCAUAUAAAUUAUACUUGUUUCAUACCAUUUGUGUAAAUUUAGAAAUCUCUUAAAGCGGAUGAAAGUGAUCUUUUCCAAUCUACCCUCAUGUUUCAAUAAAGAACAAGCACUGUGGAUGCUCCCAUUCAGUUGACUUUCAAAUUGUUCCAUCCUUCCAUGGCAUCUACUGGAGUGAUGAGACAACAAUGAGUAUUCCUUGAGGAUAGAAGUAAAACUUUAUCUUUCUUCUAAUAUUUAGAUUAAUACAAUAACAAACAUCAAUAUCUUUACAAAUAUCUACUGUCUCUAUGAUUUAAUUUCUCAAAUGAUGUUCGAUGAUCGUUGACAUUUUAUUGCAUGUUAUAUACAAUCAAGUCCAUCCCUGUAAUAGCAAACACUGAAUUGAAAAUAUUAUGUACGAGAAUCUAGUACAUUCAAAACACUAACAACACCUUCAAAAUAACUUAUCUCGUGCAUUAAUCUUUUUAUUGAGUUUCUAAAACAUUUCUUAGAGUAUUUGCAUAAUUUUGAAAUUUGGCCAAAAAGCAAAUGUUUACAUUCUAAAAAUUUGGCUCUUCUGGUUGAGACCGAUGAUCCGGCACUCAUAAUAUUUAUAGAGUCAUAUUUUAAAUAUAUUAUUUAAAAUCAAUUGAUGUUCAAUAAAGAAAGGCUAAGAAGGGGGCAUAUUCAAUCAAAAUUGUGACAUAUUUUAAAAAUCAUUCUAAAUUUAAGUGUCUCAAAUUGAGGUUUUAAUGAAAUCCAUUAAAAUAUAGAUGUCUUUACUGUCUUUAUUGAUAUUAUAAUGAAUUUCAAUAAAAUUCUUCAAAAUUUAGCUGUCUUCAAUAACUAAUGGAUUUCAUUAAUAAAUGAAUUUUAAAAGAUUUGGAUGGAUUUCAAACUUAAAAAUACAUAUAACAAAAUCUUUUGAAAUUUCACCAUAUUUGACGAGAUUCUUAUGGAGUUUGUGGAAACCUAUUCAAAUUCAUAAAAUUUAUUAUCCUUCAAAAUCCAUCAAAAUCUUACUCAAGGAUACCCCUUUAAACAUUUUAUAACAUUUAAUUACAAUAAUGUGAAUGACUUAAUCUCUAGGUUUUAGAGUUUUGAUUUUUGAGAUAUGCUUAAAAUUAAAAAAAAAAGUUUUAAUUAUUUUAAAAAGUUUUGUUGACCUCAAAAAAUGUGUCUCUGUUGUGGUCAACAGAUUCCAAGGCCUCUCAUGACUUCGCAAGCAUUGUUCCUGCAUCCACACGUUCUCUAGCGGCCAAGUCAAUUGGGAAGAAAAUAUAUGAGUGUGGGAGAGCUUUACACAUGAGCCUCCAAUAUAAAAGGUGGAUCGACUUUAGAGAGUAACAAAUAAAACAAUGAUAAAGUAAAGUUAUAGUGUGAGUGUCUAAACUUGCAUUACUUUUAGAAUGACACCAAGUGUAAACUUUUAUAGUAGAAAAUAGUGAGUAAGAAUCGUUAGAUGAAGAGACACGUGGCUCCAUCUAUACGGUCAUUAAGUGCCAACACCAUAUUUUUAUCUAAAAUGCCUAGCUUGCAACUUUAGACUUGACAUGGUGUGCUUGGAAGUAGCGGCAGUGACAGUAAAUUGUCAUAUCAAUCACAUAUCAUUGAUUGUUUAAGAAAUCUUACUCUGACUUUGCUUUACAACCUUGCCUCCUCCGUGGUUUGACUCAUCUUCAUAGCGUCAACUAAUGGGGGUCAAUAGAUAUAUUAGCUCGGCACCCUAAAGGGCGUGUUGAUUUUUGUGUGGGCUCUACGAUUUCUCGCCACGUAUGACAUUUGGAGGGUUUAUGGAUAAUGUAUAACAAUAGUCCCGAAGUCUAUGUAUGAUUAUUCAUGUAAUGCAUGGACUUUUAAGUUGAGAUGUAAGAUCAUGUGAAUGGUAAGCCUGUCGAUAUGAUGAACCCUCUGAGAAGGCUGAAUUCGAAGAAGGUAAAGCUCUUGAUAAAGAGGGCGAGUCUGUUGAUGUAAUGAAGCUUUUGAGAAGGUUGAAUUCAAAGAAAGCGAGGCCUUUGCUAAGGAGGGAAAAUUUGUUGAUGUGAUGAAAACUGUGAGAAUGCUUCAGAAAGGAGAGGCCCUUGCUAAGGAGAGUGAGCCUGUUUAUGUGAUGAAGCCAGUGAGAAGGUUAAAUUCGAAGAAGAUGAGGCCCUUGUUAAGGAGGGCGAGGCUAUUGAUGUAAAUGUUGAAGGGACGCGUGUUGUCAUGAUUUGGAAACAUUAUAUGUUCAAAAAAAUGGCAGCACGACAGUUUGGAGUUUUCCAUAUGCGUAUUGCAUACGCAUUUGUGACGCUGUGAAGCCGAACUAUUAUAACUGGUAGGGGUUAUGUACCAGUUGGGGUUUGAUGUGCAUAGAUCAUCAAUGUCAUCGAUUCAAUUUUCAAAAGGAACCUUUUGGUUUUUUGACGUGUGUGAUGGGAGUACAAGUGUAUGUCUAGUAUUAUUUCUGAGCUGAUCAAACGACGGUGCUCUAUUUAGGUUGCUUAUGAAAGGAGGAAAACAAUUGUUUCUUACCUUUUACUUUACAAAAGCUCCCAAACCCUUUGAACAUUUUAUUUUGGGGUUUUCGAUCAUCUUUGUCACUUUUUUGGCGAGUACUUCCAUCCAUAUCUCCAUGUUAUUUCAUGACCUCUGUAAGUGAUAGAACCUCAUCUUUUUUCAUGUAAGUGCUUUAAGAUAAUCAUUCAUUGGCCUCAUCAGGGGUUCUUCUGAAAGUAGAUAUGGCACUAAUUUGUGCCAAGGCUGGUUGCCUUUGAAGAUUCCCAUUGAGAGGAUAAGGGAUGUCAUUGGGGCCCACAUAGCAUGUAGAUGAUGCAAUGUGUGAGAUAGGAGCUUUCUUGUGCCUGUCUUGUGUGGAUGAGAGUGAAAUUUGAGACGUUUGGGAAACGAAUUAGGAUAUUAGAAACCAUUGAGAUUUUGCUCCUAUCCCUGAUAAGCGAGCCUUUUUUCAAUGAGGGGUAUGUUGCGGUGAAUGAAUCGAUUCUUAGUGGUGGGAUGAGACUGUUAUGCAUCCUUUCUUUAGAUAUAUAUUUGGGCAGUAUAACUUGGCUCUCCUACCUAAUUAAUGCCCAAUGCAGGGAGCCAAUUUACAAGGCUUUUCUUCCUUGGAAGGAAGUCACUCUUGGUGAGGAUAUGCCUCCCCAUGUCUUUCAGACCCUUUUUUUAGCCUCGAGCUUCUAUUGGGAAGAUGAAUGUAAGGAGUGGUAUUGUAUGAACCUAUGAGGUCCGCAUUUAUCCUUUAUCUGGGAUACUCCGACCUCAAUAAAGAAUUGGAAAUUGUCUUGGUUCUAGGUGAGGGGUCAUUAGUAGACAGUGGAGAGGGAUGCAGUCCCAAAAAUAACUGUGCCAACCCAAUACCAUAAGUAUAUUGAGUUUAUUUUGGUUAAGAUAAUUCAUUCAUUGCUGCAUUUCAUUGAGCUGCAUCACUAGCUUUUGUUUCUUUAGCUGUAAUUAACCAUUUCAAGAUCGAGCUAUCGGAGUGGGCCAUUGUCAAGUCCAUCUACGAGUUUCUUACUGAGAAGAGGUAUUUUAAAAACUUACUUAGCCCUUUCAUGACAUAUUUAUUGUUGGUGACCAAGGUAUGUAGUUAGCGCCUCGCAUUCAUUGUUGAUAUGCUGUUAAGAUUUUAGGCUAUGUUAAAGUCUCGACUUUUGUUUUGUAAAGCAACAUGAUAGCAAUGAAUAUAUAUCAAGUCGGAUAUGUUCUUUAUGAGCACCUAUGGAAAGUAAGGAAAAAGAAACCACUGAGUUCUAGCUCCUCUAUCUACAAGAUCCAGAGGGAUGAGUUGUCCUGUUUAUCUAAGAUUAAUUCACCUCUUCUCUUAGAGAAAAGAGGGACAAGAACAGGAAGAAAAAAUUGAGCCUUCUACGGGGGAUCCAUAAGAGGAAGUUGACUUUAACAAAGAAAACUAAGCCUCUUUCCCCUCAAAGCACCAAACAACGAUUGAAGAAUACCUAAAGAGGCUUAUCGUAGACCCUAUUUCUUCUGCGAAGAUAAUGGAGGUAGAGGAGGUGAGUGAAGAUGAGGGGGUCUCAUCUAAAGAAAAUGAGCAUAAGGAGGCUACCAAAGGUGCUUCUUCUGAAGGAAAAGCCCAAAAUUUCUUGGGAGACAAGUUUGACAAGAUCAUCCCUAUAGUUUGGAGAUGUUUCCCAUCGAGGUCCAUAUAGAGCAAGCGUCCAUCAUAAAUAUUGAACUAUAAAUAUUCGUCUUAUACUGAGGUCUAUGACUCAAUUGAUAAUUGGAAAUUAGCCUUACCCUACAAGCUCAUUCACAAGGCUUCUUCUUGAAUGCCCAAAUGGAUGUGAGGAGAAUGUAGAAGACUAAAUAAGGAAUUUUAGGGUGAGAGCUGAUGUGGAGGCUAAGGGCUAAGGCCUCUAUUAGCAUGAGGUCAUUGAGACUUUAGGGUGAGGUAUGUUGAAGCUAAGUCAAAGAUUGAGUUCCUUACUACUAAAAAUCAGGAAAUGAAGAGAGAAGACCUCCUUUGCAAAGAUGAGGUGAAUACCAUGACAAAACUGGUUGAAAAUUUUGACAACCUGCAAAAGAUAGCUUCCUCGGCCUUGGAGAUGGCUAAUAAAGAAAAGGGAGAGCUAAAGGCUUAAGUAGAUGAGCUGACUCUCGAGGUUGCCCAUUUAAGUCAAUAGUUGAGUGGGACAGGGGAGGUAGCCGCGAACAACUAUGUAGCACACUUUUAUGAAAUGAUUGAGUAUGACGAUCUCGAUUUUACUGGAGGAAUGUUGCAUGCAGUAAAGUCUUUGGAAAGAUAGCUGAGCUCCAUCAUCAAAUAGAUGGGGUUAUUGUGAAGGAGGAGUUCCUCCCAACAAAGUCAUCCACCCUUGCAGAUGAUGCCGAAAGCUCUAAUGGUGGGAAGAGCCAAGCAGAGCCUCAGUAGGAUGAAGCUACUGCUUACACAUAGGCUUUUAAUUUUUGUCUGGUCCAUAAUGUAGUUCCUAUUUGUAAUCAGCUUGCCUUAUGUAUGUAAAGAUCUUUUAUUAUCUAGCUAUUUUAAUUUUUGAUCGUAGGUUUUGUAGCCGCCAUUGUUACGUGGGUUCACAUCAAUUGGUAUUAGAGCUCAGGCUUUAAAAUCAAGUUUAUAUCCUUUGUCAUUUUCGUUAAGUCAUUUUGUUGUUCGUUUUUUGCGUUGUUUGUUUUCUUCAUUAAUUUUGAGUCUUUGAUCCAUGAAAUUUUCAUCAAAUUUUCAAAAGUUAUUUUUGUGCUAAUGUAGAAUCCAAAUCAACUUCCUUUUGUUUUUGUUGGCAUCAUAGUCGAGUUUUCUAUAAAAAAAUCCAAAAAUUCAAAAAAAAGUUGUUAUUGUUUAGAUUAUUUUGGAAAUUGCUAGUAAGUUAUAGUCUUUCCAAGUUCAAAUUUGAUCUAUUCAGUCGAGUCCAAAAAUUCAAGAACCAUUCUUCUUAACAUUCCUUUAAAUUUGUCCAAUUUCCUUUUUAGUCUCUUAAAGUCGCAAAGUCUUACAUUUCAUCCUGUUGAAUUCCACAAGAAUUAUUCGGGAUUGAGUUCGAAUUUGUUCUUGAAGCCAUUGAUCGGAAGCGUUGAGUGGAAAAAUGCUAAUUGGUGAGAUCAAUAGAGGAUAAAAGUAAAAAAUUGAGAGAUACAAGAGUGAAAUACGCGAGGUAGAAAUAUUUUAGAUUUAGGAUGUCUAACAUGGAUGAAUCAAAUUCAAGCAGGAAUGGCAAUCAAAUCAACAUGUCUAAUGAUGUGAUGCUGCGAUUUGAGAGACUGCUAGUGGAUAUGGGAGGUAGAAUGCAUAAACAGAAGGCUUGGAUGGAAAGGCUAGACACUAAGAUUACUAAUCUUUAUAAGGGAUAGUGUGUAGAAGUACCUACUGUAAGGAGACAUGGUAGACGAGAUCCUAGGAUGGAAAUGUGUGACAAGUAUGAAUACGGUAACAAUCUGGCUGAGGAUGCAUUAAUGGAGGUUGAAAUGGAAAGGUGUGACUAGAGGCGAUAGGUUUGAAAGAUGGGGUUGAAAUACUGUUAGUGAAGAAGUGGAUGGAGGCAUGGGAAACAUAAAAAUGUCCAUUUCACCAUUUAUGGAAAGGAGUGAUCCAGGGCUUACCUAGAGUGGGGGAAAAAAAGUAGAGCUAAGUUUUGAGUGCCACAAUUACUCGGAUGAGAAGAAAGUAAAGAUCACAGUCCUUGAGUUCACUAACUAUGGGAUUUCUUGGUGGAAUCAAGUGGUAACAUCACGAUGGAGGAAUAGGGAAAGACCUAUCAAUACAUGGGAUGAACUAAAGGCGAUAAUGUGAAAGAGGUUCGUGUUAAGUCAUUACUAUAGGGAACUCUAUCAAAAGUUGCAAAGUCAUUAUUUUUUACUUUUCAAAAUCUUUUCUCCACUUACUCCACUUGUUUUACCUUGGAAAUACAUGUGAAAUACAUCAAAUAAAUAUUUUUUCAAAAGUAAAAUACUCAUGCCAACAUGUAUUUCAAUACGUGUUUGGAUUAAUUGCACUUUUAACCAUGUAUUUAUUGAUACUGAAUUUACAGCAGGAGAAUUGAAAUUAGAGACUAACAUUAGUGUUUUUAAAAAAAGUGAAUGUAAAAAUCCUUGUAAAUGAUAUAUAUUUGAAACACUUUUAGACACUAAUCAUGGAGAGGCAAUUGAAGUGAAAAGGAACAGCUAGGUAUCCAUCGAGGCCUAAUUUAUCUUCGAAAACGAAGUGGGAUGAUGAUAGAGUAGAUGGAGUUAUUUCAAAUGGUAAAAUUGAACCACCAAGGGAAAAGGAAAAGAUUGCUAGCAUGGCCCUACCAAAAGCAGAACCACAACAUUCUAGGAGCCGAGAUAUCCAGUGUUUCAAGUGCUUGGGGUCGAGGUACAUUGCUUCUUAGUGUCCUAAUAAACGAGCAAUGAUCUUGAGUGCCAAUGGAGAAAUGGUGAGUGAUAGUGAUGGAGAUGGGAUGCUCAAACUAGAGGAUGUUAGUAGUGGUGAAGUGGUGGAACACGUAGUCGAAGAUGAAGCACUUGUGGUGAUGGGUGCAUUCAACACACAAAUUAAGGUAGAUGAAGAUGAGCAGUAGGAGAAUAUCUUGCAUACUAGAUGCCAUUUGGAGAACAUGGUAUGUAGUUUAAUAAUUGAUGGAGGUUGUUGCUCUAAUAUAGCUAGUACCGUGCUUGUUGAGAAGUUAGGCUUGGUGACUACAAAACAUUCUAAGCCUUACAAAUUAAAAUGGUUAGAUGAUUGUAGGGAGGUUAAGGCAAAUAAGAGGGUAUUAGUGAAUAUUAAUGAACUUUUCGAUUGGGCAAUAUAAAGAUGAAGUAUUGUAUGAUGUAGUCCCUUGGGUAGGUCGUGGCAGUAUAAUAGAAAGGUAAAACAUGAUGGGUUUAGAAAUAGGUGCAACAUUGAAAAAGAUGGGAAAGCGAUUACUCUUGCAUCUUUGACACCACAACAAGUAUAUGAAGAUCAAAUGAAAAUGAGAGGUAAGGAAGAAAGAAAGAGCAAAAAGAAGCAAAAGGAGAGCUCAAGAGAAAAUUACAAUGUAGCUAAGUGUGAGAAAAACAUAGCAAAGCCACAAGAGAGAAAAGAAAGAAAGUCUGAGUAGAGAGGAAAAUGCAAGUGAGUUUCUACGCAGAGAAAAGUGAACUUGAGAAUGAUUUGAUAAAGACUAACAAAUACCUUCCCAGUUUGAAUGUAUCUUUAAUGCAUGAAUAUGAAAAUUUGUUGCAUGAAGACUUCCUUAUGGGAACGUCAUCCUUUAAAUAUUCGAUUCAUGCAUUGUAAAUGGAGAAUCUUAUGAGCAUUGAAAGAUCAUUCAACAAUGACAUGGCGGAGUAACAAUACAACGAACAUAAGAGAGAUAAUGGUCUAGUAGAUGGAAAGCUGAAAUGAUGUUGUGUUCGUUCCAAGGCAGUGAAUGGAAGAGGCAUAAAAUAUUUAGAUCUGGCGAUUAGGCUUGGAAGAAUCAACAAAAAAGGCGUGAUCAGUUGAAAAGAAGGUCUAAGUUCCAUCCUAGAUGAGAUGGUCCGUUCCAUGGCAUCUCAAUGCUUGAAGGCAAUGGGAUCAAAUUUGAUCUUGAAGUUUCAAAUUCGAGGAUGAAUCCUUUCAAAGAGGGAGGGAAUGAUGGGAUUCAUGGAAGACAUCAAGGUGGCAAGGAAUUGAAUCAGGUUGAUAAGGAGCUGAGACUAAGAAUUGAGCUAAGUGUGAGACCUCGAAGAGCCAACAAAGUCAUCCAUUUAUUUGAUACAGUUAUGGAGUUCAAAAUACCAAGGUUAAUAAGCCAAAUUUCAAGUGUAAUGUAUAGAUGUCGAAGGCCAAAACAACUUGGAGGUAGUGCAAUUCAAGAGGCAGGGAAUCGGGCUUGCCGUAAAGCAAUGCAACUGUAAGGCUUUAAGCCUUAUCAGUCGCUCAAGAGGAAGCAGAAAACACUGGCAGCAAAUGUUGAUCUAUGCAGAUGCAGGGUGUAUUUCGAGACCAAGAAUUUUAAUUUUCUCGUGAGUUUCCAAUUUGCUUUAUAACUUUAAUAUCUUAGUAUCUUUACAAUAUUUUGCACGUAUUUUCCUUUUAAAUUUAGGUUUUUAGGACUUGAUACAAAUAGGACUUAUUUCAUUCAUUGUAAUCUUAAAACUUUUGAUAUUGAGAAAUAAUUGAGAGGCUCAUUUGCUUCCACUCUCUUGUUCUUAAUUGAACAAUUUGAACUUAUCAAGAUUAACAAUCUUUUGAUGUUCACAAAUCCGGGCGAGGUUCAAUAAUUGUGUGAUCAAGAGGUCGACAAAUUCAUUGUUGUUGGUUGUUUGGUUCAUAGUUUUUGGAUUAAAUCUAAACCUUGGAUCUUUGGUAUUCUUGGGAUCCGGUGUGAAAUCUUGUUGUGGGUCAUAGCUGCCAUUGCUACCUAGGUUCACAUCAAUAUGGUUGACCCUUAAUAAAAGGAUAUUACUAAAUAGAGCGGCUAAAAUCUCUGUUAAAAUCUUUCUAGUUUGGCCUUGAUUGACAACUCACACCAACAUUCCUACUCAAGUUGGUGUAUAGAUAUCAUGAAUGCCCAACUUGUCAAAUGAGUUGUAAUGGAUCCUACUAGAAACAACCUUUGUUAGUAUAUCAGUUAGUUGUUUUUUAGAGUUAACGAAUGGAAAACAAACUAUCAUAGCUUUGAGAUUUUGCUAGAUGAAAUGUCAAUCUACUUCAAUAUGUUUAGUAUUGUCAUGUUGGACUGGAUUAUGAGAAUUAUGGAUGGUCAACUUAUUAUUACAAAAUAAGUUCAUUUUGAAAUUGGGAGUGGCCCAAUUUCUAUCAGUAUCUCUUAAGCUAAAGAAGUUAAUGAAGUCCUUUGGCCAUGCCUCUAAAUUUAGAUUUGGCACUAGAUAUUGCCUCUACUUUCUGUUUCUUACUCCUCCACAUGUUGCCUUCUACAAAUAGAAAUAGCUCAAUGUAGACAUCUUAUUAGAGAUGUUUUCGGCCCAGUCUACAUUUAUAUAACUAUCAAUAUUGAGAUGAUUAUUCUUGGAGAACAUAAGUCAUUUUCUUGGAGCAUAUUUCAAAUAUCAGAGAAUUGAACUACCAAAUCCAUAAGAUUUUUACUAGGUGAGGGCAUCAAUUAGCCUACUAGGCUUACGGAAUAAGCAAUAUCUACAUGAUUAUGGGAUAGACAAGUUAGCUUGCUUACUAAUCUUUGAUACCUUUCCUUAUUUGUGGGAACUUGAGCUGAAUACUCUCCAAGCUUGUGAUUCUGAAUCCUUUGUGUAUCAACUGGCUUACAAUUUAGCAAGCCCACUCAAACAACAAAUCUAGCCCAUAGUUUCAUUGGAAAAUAAAUAUACCUUUUCUUCUGGUUACUCAAUUUCUAAAAAUUAUUUGAGACCCCAAGGUUCAUCAUUUCAAACUCAAUUGCCAAUCUCUUUUGUAUUCUAGAAAUCAAUGUUAUAAAAAUCGAACCAAAUUGGUCGGUUCUAUCGAAAAAAAUUGGAAAUUGAUACAAAAUCUGGUCCAGUUAACACUGAAAAACCACUUAAUUUAAAUUUGGUAAAAAAUUUAUCAAUUGGCUAGUUUAUUCAUUAGUCCGAUGACCCGGAACCUAUUUUUUCUGGUUGGUUAACUAUUUAUAAAUUUUAUGUUAAUAAACUUCAAGCCUCUUAAUUAAAAAGGCCAAAAAAUGUUCCUUACCGAACUAUUGGAACGCCCAUUUAUUGAUUGCAUUUCUUGGGAUUUUUUAGUUAAUAUCUGAUGUGAGAACUAAAAAGCAUCCCUUGGCUGUAAUAUAAAAAUCCCCUUUGUCCAUAGAAAAAUCAAUUAAAAAUUUUAACGGCCCCUUCGGUUGUUUAUUUUAUUGAAUAAAUAAAUUAAUUUUUUAUCUUAUUUUAAUUAAUAAAAAAUUAAAAACUCUCCAAAUAUUUCAAUUAAUAAUAUUAAACCAUUAUUUAAUAUUCUUUACUAUUUGAAAAUGUAUUUAUUUAUCUUUAUUUAACUAACCGGUUCUAUUCCAGUUCGACCCUUUAUCCUUUAACCCUUUUGCUUUUUCUGGUUGAUAUGAAAAAUUGCUAGAGAUCUCUUUAAUGUCAUCUCUGGUGAUAAUCAUGUCAUCCACAUGUAUUAUUAAAGUUGUUAUUUUUCCGUAUCAAUGUGUCAAAAAUAAAAUAUGAUCCGAGUUUCUCUGUUCAAAACAAUACUUUUUUAUAGCCAAGCUGAAUCGUCCAAACCAUGCACCGGUUGAUUGUUUUAGUCCAUACAAUGAAUGUUGUAGCUUACAUAUGACCUUUGCCUUUGAGGGAAUUGUUGACACAUAAAAAUUCAGCCCAAAUCGAAUGGUCCAAGGAAUGAAGCCCAAUUGGAGGAUCCCCAAAUCAGAUAGCCCAAAGAACGAAGCCCAAUCAGACAAUUCAAGAUGAAGGCCCAAAUAAGGAGGCCCAGGAACGCGGUAACACCAUCACCCAAGUUUGCAAGUCGCCCAGAAUCUGAGCGAAUGGAGUGCUAUGCAGUCGCCCACAGCUGUUACUCUAUUUUCGCCCAAACCUUCGAGUCGCCCAAAGUCUUAGCAAACAUGAAGUGUUGUGGUUAUCAAGAAGUGCAGCUAUCAAAGCAGUUAUUAAAGCAGCCCUAUCACGUUCCACGUUCAAGGAACUUAAUUGAAGAUGGUUGAACGACAAAGAGUAAUGGCAGCAGUUAGAAAAGGUAGUUCCAUGACAAGUUGGCCAUUAAUAAGAAAGUGGGCAGUUAUAGAACGAUCCAACAAUUUUUAGGCGGUUGAUCACAAAGAGAUCAACCAGGAAGUAUAAAAGGAAGGAAGGACAUAGAGCAAGAGGACGGAAUCAAAAAAACUCUCGAACAGAGAACAUGUAAUUUUAAAUUUCUUAGCUUAGAUUUAAACACUUCUUUCAGUAACUCGUGUGCUUGCGCCCCUUGGAGGCAUUUUGUUUUUAAUUUCCGAUUGUAAAGUCACCACCAAUAAAGAGUACCCCUUUUUGGGACUUUGUCCCAAGAGGUUUAUCCCUUACACAAUCGUCUGAUCCCUUUUAAUUGUUAGCGACUAAUACGCGUGAAACAAUUUGGCACGCCCAGUGGGACAGUGGUGUUUGGUGUUGAAAAUACAAAAGGUAAAACAAUAUGCUUCAGAGAUCCAAUAAGGAAGCAGCAAGUCAGGGAGAAAUCCAGUCUGUGAUUGAGCAAUAUGAGAAGUAGCAUGCCUCUCCAUGAACAGAUGGACAGAAUCAGAGCAGCAACAGUCGUUACGAACUAAUGACAGAGUUGAGUUCUCGAACCAUGCGUGCAUUACUUGGAGAACUCACACAAGAUGUCGUUGAACAGGUAAAUCUUCGAAGUAUUCAUAAUAUGGAAAGAUUUACCCAAAAUGGGAAUGCACAUUAUGACAACAUGGCCAAACAACUAAACACUUUGAAUGAAACAAUGAAUAAGUUAGUAGGCCAAAUAUGUCAACCGGUUAUGCCUCUUGCAAACCACUUUCAAAUUAGGACAAUUGUGGGACAUAAUCCCUCAGUCCUAAAUCCGAAUCAAGGGGUAGAACCACUUUCUGGUCCCUCUACUUCAAACUAAGAGGGUGGUGCAGUGCCAAAUCAGAAAAAUGGUAGUGGUACGCCUAACUUGGGGGGUAAUCCAAAUGUAAGAGAUAAUGUCCUAAACAAUGGACAGAAUACCCCACGUGUUAAUGAGGGAAUGGAUGUUCAGGCUAAUGGUAAUGGCCCUAAUCAUGGUAACUUUGUUGCCAAUUAAGGACCAAACAUCAAGCCUCAUGCAAAUCAACCGGUUAACCAACCUGUAGGAAUUCCAUAUGACCCCAACGUCAUGUUGAGGAAUCAGAUUAUGGAAAUCGUACAGGAUCAGAUGGCUUUUGGGGUGCGUCCUGUCACUAGGCCGACUUACACAAAGCCAUA
rnacentral:lncRNA from 1 species